rnacentral:rRNA from 1 species
AUUGAACGCUGGCGGCAUGCUUUACACAUGCAAGUCGAACGGCAGCGCGGGCUUCGGCCUGGCGGCGAGUGGCGAACGGGUGAGUAAUGCAUCGGAACGUGCCCAGUAGUGGGGGAUAGCCCGGCGAAAGCCGGAUUAAUACCGCAUACGACCUGAGGGUGAAAGCGGGGGACCGAAAGGCCUCGCGCUAUUGGAGCGGCCGAUGUCGGAUUAGCUAGUUGGUGGGGUAAAGGCUUACCAAGGCGACGAUCCGUAGCUGGUCCGAGAGGACGACCAGCCACACUGGGACUGAGACACGGCCCAGACUCCUACGGGAGGCAGCAGUGGGGAAUUUGGACAAUGGGGGCAACCCUGAUCCAGCCAUGCCGCGUGCGGGAAGAAGGCCUUCGGGUUGUAAACCGCUUUUGUUCGGGAAGAAAUCCUCUGGGCUAAUACCCCGGGGGGAUGACGGUACCGGAAGAAUAAGCACCGGCUAACUACGUG